UACAGUCCAUGGGGUCACAAAGAGUCGGACACAACUAAGCACAUAGUACAGGCCUAGGUGAGUACACUUACCGUAUACACAAGCCAGGCCCAAUGUAUUCACAGGUGGACAUUGGAGAAACAGAUUUAAGGGUCAGAUGUCACAAGACCAACUUCAGAAGGUUGACUUUUGCUUUUGGCCAAGUUGAAGCAUCCUCGCUCAUCUACCACCCUCUACUGAACAACUGCGCCCCACAGAAGCACCACGAAGAGGUACACCUGUCCCCAUUUUUCACAUAAAUAAACUGAGGCUCUGAGCAAAGCAUAGAUCCAGACUUUGGAGGAAGACUGGAAUCCAGGUGAAUCUCUACGGGCAGGCAAGGCUCAGGGAGCUGGGCAUCUCGGGGAGAUGAGGCUGGACCUGGGGCUGCGGGGGCCCCUGGGGGAAGGCACCACGUUGGCAGCUCUACAGGAUCCUGGCCCCUGUAGGGGAGUAGAUCGAACGAGGGGGUGAGGCAGCGGGGAGGAGGCGGCGGGGGCCCCCAGGGUGGGGAGGAGCAGGCGGAGUCCGCGUCGCUUAGGAAGAGGCCCCGAGGAAGGAGCAGACUGGGGGCGAGGGCCUACAUGUGGGGUAUGUAUGAACGCCAGUCCUGCCCUUAAUGGGCGAAGGGGCAGGACGACCCUUCCUCUGAACCUGAGGACAUUCUUCCGAACCCCCUAGCCCGUCGCCUCCUCCCCCUCCCCCCAGGCUCCGCCGCCACCGCCUCUCCCAGGGAGGAAGUGGUGAGGAUGCGGGGGAGGGCCCCCCAUUCUCACUUCCCCUGGGGCAGGGCGGGGCCUGCAGGGUUCCCUCCCCCGCAGCAGGAAUCCAGGGCCCUCACCCCAGCACACACACAGAGGUUGGGGCCAAGGAGGGGGCUGCCCGAGCUGGGACUGGGCCAGGGUUGCACGCCUGCCACCCCCCACCCCACCCCGGUAACACAAGUUCUCUAGGCUUUGACGGUUCUCAUCUUAAAUGUGAGGAGUAUAUAGACCUAAGAGAUGGCCUGUUGUUCCUUCGAUGUAAACACUCAACGGACAGUCCAGGAGCUGAUGAAGGAUAAACAGUGUACCCAGUCAUAUGGCAUAUUGUUCAGCCAAAGAGAGGAAUGAAGCACCGAUACACACUGCAAAACGGAUGAACCUUAAAAAUCCCAUGCUGAGUGAAAGAAGCCAGAUGCCAAGGGCCGCAUAGGAUGUGAUUCCGUUUAUGUGAAAUGUCCAGAACAGGUCAGUUUGUAAACACGGCAGGCAGAUUAGUGGUAGUCAGGGGCUGAGGAGGAGGGAGUGGGCGUGAGGCUUCUUUCUGGGGUGAAGACAAUGUUCUGGAACUAGGUACAGGUGGUGGUUACACAACAUCGUGAAGGUACUAAAUACCGCUGAACUGCUCACUUUCUUUUGGUUGUUUCUAAUUUGCCUGUGCCAGGUCUUAGAUGUGGCAUGCAGGAUCGUUGGUUGAGGCAAGUGGGAUCUAGUCCCUCCUGACCAGGGAUGGAAGCCUGGCCCCCUGCACUGGAAGCAAAGUCUUAGUCACUGAGGUCCCUGAAUUGCUCACUUUAAAAAGGUUGACUUUAUGUUACUGAAUGUUACUUCAAUUGUUUUUAAAGCACUUUGGGUAAA